UUAGGUGCUGAGUGGCGGGAGGCAACAGAGUUAAUGAAAGCUCUGAAAAUCCUGCUCGGUAAAGUCCAUUGUGGGAAGACGAUUGUGAAGCAAGAGCCAUCACAGCACGUACAUGGACAGGAUGGGACAGCAGAAUCCAGCCUGGCCAGUCAAAGGAAAGCAGGAGCGGAGGGAGAGCAGGAUCCUGGUGGGCUCCAGCAGCAUGGACGCUCCAAUAGGAAAGGCCCCUUUGUCACCUACGAAGAACAAGGUCUAGGUCCUCAGCCUGGGAGGUCCAUGCUGGCCUGUCUGACUGAGCUUGAGGUGGAGAGUCUGAUGGCAACUUCCCCCCUUGCCAGGACCUUGCGUGAGAUCAGGCAGGCUUUGGAGAAGCAGCAGCAGUAUCCUAUUGCUUCUGCUGCAGAGGCAUAUUUGAGUGACAGUUCUCCAAGGUCCACCAGGAAUUCAUUGGUCACCACAGAUCUGUCCAGCUUGUCCCCUCGCCAGUUUGUGGUUUACCGCUUUGGCCGCACUGUGAUUCGCCUGCUAAGCCGGGCCUACUCCCACCCGGCUGUGGUACUCAUGUUGGCUCAGACAGUCCCAGACCAAAGCCCAGAAGGGGUCCAAGAGGCUCUCCAAAGCCCUGGAGAUUCCUACUAUGAUGCCACCAACAGGUUCCUGUAUAUAUGUUCAGCACGCCUGGAGAAUGCCGGGGAAUUUAUAGCCAUCCUGCUGAAUGCCAUGGCAUGGAUCAAAGCAGGAUCUACAGCAGCUGCCACUGCUCAUUCUUGCUUUCAGAUGGAACUCAACAAAGGCAUCACAGCUCUGGCCAAUGCCUUUUUCCAGUGUUCCUGGGGAGCAGUAGAGAAGGAUCCUGCAGAAGACAAACCAUCCACUUGCUUUGACUCCCAGACAAUAUUUGAAGAACUUCUGAGCAUCCGAAUGUCACCAGAUCCCCAAUUCCUUGAGAAAUCUCAACAUGAGAGGUUGCAACAUUACCAAUGUUUUCAGCUUCAGGCGGAGAUUCGGGAUAUGAUGGAAAGUUCAAGGAGAAAAGGAGCAAUGAAGUGGAGUGGUGAGGGGGAUAAGAAAAAUGCAGAGUCCUCUGGCAUUCAGACACUGGGCAGGAUUCAUGAGGAGGAAGCACAACACUUCACAGAGCAGCUGGAAUCCUGGGCCACAAAGAGAGAACAGGCCCAGUUGCUGGAAAUUAAGAAGAGCUGUGUUGCUCAGAGAAUUAAAGACACAGAAUCUGAGCUGUUUCAUCUUCUGCAAACCACAACGGCCACCAGCUCAUCUCCUGAAGGAGUCCAGCAAUCCUUUUGUACCAGCUAAAAGCAUCCAACUGAUGAUGUUCCAUCAUUGCUGGGGCGAACAGACCUGUGAACACAUAGACACCUAAUUUCCAUGGGACAUUCAUACAUGUACAGACACACAGUGACAUGCUGGUACAUAUAUGAGUCUACACAACCUUCAACACACACACAUGCAUGAUGUGGGUUAUAUGGGCACAUAUCGGCAGAUAAAUAUAUGCACAGAAACAAAGACACUAAUGGAUACAGUUUGAUACAAAUACAUAUGAACAGAUGUACAUCAUGAACAGAUGUACAUGUACAGAGAUGUUCACAUGCACACUGAUAGAUGCAUGCUGUAGAUCCUACAUAUAUACAUUCUUUACAGCUGUGAAGGCGUAGACUCAAAUGUAUUCCUACUCACUGUUAAUCAUCCACAAUUGUGCAGGGUUGAAAAUAUCAAUGUUCUUAACUUAUAUUGGUGUUCUGAAUGUACCACUCUCAAUCAAUAAGACAAAAAGGGAGUAGGAAAUUAGACUCUUCACAUACAUUGCAGGAAAUCCCUGCCCAUCAGCAAAAUAAAUUAUGUGCAUCUCAUGCA
ensembl:lncRNA